AAUCUUAUAUUAUUGUUAAAAGAUUAGAAUAAUAAUAUAAAUAUAGUUAGAAGAAUAAAAUAUUGAUAUACGAAUUUGGACCAAAUUUCAGGCCAAACUGUUAGAAUGGAAAGAUGAUUCGGUGUAAAUUUAGGCCAAAAUUUAGGUAAAAACUGAUUACAUGGUUGGAGAUGGCCUUAGGACAACUAGUCCAGGUUUGGGGUGUGUUAUCUAGCGUGAUCCAAACUUCAAUCCAAAUUUAUUCCCGAGUGUCACGAUAUGCCCGCAUCUUUUCAAAAUUUAUGGCAAUUCGUGAAAAUAAAAGGUCUAACAAUGUCUCACAAAAAUUUUAAAUUGUUCAGACAUCUUUCAUUCUAUUUUUAGGAUUGUCCUACUCAAAUCUCAUUUUAGUUUUAAUAUUAAAACAUUAUUUUUCCUUCUCUUUCUACACAUCUUUUCCCUGUAUUUACAUUUUUAUUUAAUCACACUUACAAUUUAAAUAUAAUAAUAUUUAAAUAAUACAUUGGAGUGAAUAUAUAAAAAUAAUCCCAAACUAUUGUGAAAGUUAUAUUUUAUUAUAUCUUUAAGAUAAUUAAUAAAAUAAUCUUGGACUUGCUUUAACGGUGUUCCUUCAUAGUUUAAUAAAAGAUUUUUGGACAAUUAUGGAUAACGCACUUCAAUCUUGGCCUAUCAACAUCUUAAUCAUUGUCUAAGAACUGCACUUUGGAAUAUUUUGUUCGGGGGCAUGUGAGUUGAGUGAUUUGUAUAUCAUAUAGCCCAAGUUACUUCGUGAUUAUAUUUAAUUCGUUCGUAUCAAUUACUUGAACACGUGACUUGACUC
rnacentral:lncRNA from 1 species